rnacentral:rRNA from 1 species
AGUGAACGCUGGCGGUAGGCCUAACACAUGCAAGUCGAACGGCAGCACAGGAGAGCUUGCUCUCUGGGUGGCGAGUGGCGGACGGGUGAGGAAUACAUCGGAAUCUACUUUUUCGUGGGGGAUAACGUAGGGAAACUCACGCUAAUACCGCAUACGACCUACGGGUGAAAGCAGGGGAUCUUCGGACCUUGCGCGAUUGAAUGAGCCGAUGUCGGAUUAGCUAGUUGGCGGGGUAAAGGCCCACCAAGGCGACGAUCCGUAGCUGGUCUGAGAGGAUGAUCAGCCACACUGGAACUGAGACACGGUCCAGACUCCUACGGGAGGCAGCAGUGGGGAAUAUUGGACAAUGGGCGCAAGCCUGAUCCAGCCGUACCGCGUGGGUGAAGAAGGCCUUCGGGUUGUAAAGCCCUUUUGUUGGGAAAGAAAUCCAGCUGGUUAAUACCCGGUUGGGAUGACGGUACCCAAAGAAUAAGCACCGGCUAACUUCGUGCCAGCCGCCGCAGUAA